rnacentral:misc_RNA from 1 species
GAAAUGCGAUAAGUAAUGUGAAUUGCAAAAUUCAGUGAAUCAUCGAAUCUUUGAACGCACCUUGCGCUCCUUGGUAUUCCUUGGAGCAUGCCUGUUUGAGUAUCAUGAAAUCUUCAAAGUAAAUCUUUUGUUAACUCAAUUGGUUUCUACUUUGGUAUUGGAGGUCUUUGCAGCUUCACACCUGCUCCUCUUUGUUCAUUAGCUGGAUCUCAGUGUUAUGCUUGGUUCCACUCGGCGUGAUAAGUUAUCUAUCGCUGAGGACACUGUAAAAGGUGGCCAAGGUAAAUGCAGAUGAACCGCUUCUAAUAGUCCAUUGACUUGGACAAUACUUUUAUGAUCUGAUCUCAAAUCAGGUAGGACUACCCGCUGAACUUAAG